rnacentral:rRNA from 1 species
AUAGCAUAUUACUAAGCGGAGGAAAAGAAACCAACGGGGAUUCCCAUAGUAACUGCGAGUGAAAGGGGAACAGCCCAGCGCUGAAUCCUAUCGCUGGAAACGGUGAUGGGAGUUGUGGCGUGAAGAAGGCAUUUACCGGUAUGGCUUGCCCGCGUAAGUUCUCCUGAGUGAGGCUCCAUCCCAUGGAGGGUGCAAGGCCCGUAUCGUGAGCAGCUGAUGCCGGUGUAAACCUUCGGAGAGUCGCCUUGUUUGCGAGUACAAGGUGAAGUCGGUGGUAAACUCCAUCGAAGGCUAAAUAUGACCACGAGUCCGAUAGCGAACAAGUACCGUGAGGGAAAAUUGAAAAGCACUUUGAAGAGAGAGCGAAACAGUGCGUGAAACCGCUCAGAGGCAAGCAGAUGGGGCCUCGAAGGCAAAGCAGCGAAUUCAGCUGGCAGUCCGUGUGGCCGACCGGUAUUUGAGAUCGUAAGACUCUGGCUGGUUGUGCUCCGUGCGGCUGCUAGUGCACUUUCGUUGUUUGUACGCCACCGCCGUUGAGCGAGCGUCCGCCGGGUCGGUGUGUGAAGCCUUACUCCUUCACGGGCGUAGGUGCUUACUGCUGACUUGUGCGCGUUCGCGCCUCAACCGGUCAUGUCAGCAUGUGCCAGCGUUUGCGUUGGGCCGGUAUGCUCCGAUUGAUUGUUGUUGGAUGACGAGCUUGCUCGGCUCCUCAACCGUCGGUGGACUCGUUGCCGGUUUUCAACGUGGGCACAUUGUAGAUUCGGUGGCGAGUAGACGGCUGCCCAUCUAACCCGUCUUGAA